UACGUAGGGACCAAGCGUUGUUCGGAUUUACUGGGCGUAAAGGGCGCGUAGGCGGCAAUUCAAGUCAUCUGUGAAAUCUCCGGGCUUAACUCGGAACGGUCAGGUGAAACUGCUUUGCUAGAGUGCGGAAGGGGCAAUCGGAAUUCUCGGUGUAGCGGUGAAAUGCGUAGAUAUCGAGAGGAACACCUGAGGUGAAGACGGGUUGCUGGGCCGACACUGACGCUGAAGCGCGAAAGCCAGGGGAGCAAACGGG
rnacentral:rRNA from 1 species